UACAGAGGUCCCAAGCGUUGUUCGGAUUCACUGGGCGUAAAGGGUGCGUAGGUGGUGGGGUAAGUCGGAUGUGAAAGCUCGGAGCUCAACUCCGAAAUGGCGUUGGAAACUACCCUGCUAGAGGAUUGGAGGGGGGACUGGAAUACUUGGUGUAGCAGUGAAAUGCGUAGAUAUCAAGUGGAACACCAGUGGCGAAGGCGAGUCCCUGGACAAUUCCUGACACUGAGGCACGAAAGCUAGGGGAGCAAACAGG
rnacentral:rRNA from 1 species